UACGUAGGGUGCGAGCGUUGUCCGGAAUUAUUGGGCGUAAAGGGCUCGUAGGCGGUUUGUCACGUCGGGAGUGAAAACUCGGGGCUCAACCCCGAGCCUGCUUCCGAUACGGGCAGACUGGAGUACUGCAGGGGAGACUGGAAUUCCUGGUGUAGCGGUGGAAUGCGCAGAUAUCAGGAGGAACACCGGUGGCGAAGGCGGGUCUCUGGGCAGUAACUGACGCUGAGGAGCGAAAGCGUGGGGAGCGAACAGG
rnacentral:rRNA from 1 species